UAGAAUUUAUGAAGCUAAUUAAUCGGAAAAAGUAUAAAAAACAAAUUAUAACAAUUCUAAAAAAUAUCCCUUUUAUUAAAUUCUUUAUGAAACGUGUUUCACCAUAUCCAGGAUGCAUAAUUAAUUGUCUACAAGAAUGAAAAGUUUAAAUAAAAAAUUAUCUAACCUAGACCAAAUAACAUCACAGUUGGAAACCACCAUUACUCUAUGUAAUUGUAUAAGAUUUAUAAAAAAACAAAAUAAUGAUUUGAAAUGGAUUCGACCUUUAUGAAGCUUCUUGUAAGAGGGAUGCUGAUUUAAUGAAAAAAGCCUAUUUUGAUCAAGGUUGUGCAUCGAAAAGAGGAAUGGUGGUUUGCCCAGCAUCAUCAUAAAUAUUUGAAGGACCAAACAUAAUAAACUCAUUUAUUUUCGAAAAUACAAUAUUUUUUGGUGACUUCCUUGGAUCUACUUUUUUUCCAUAAUUUACUUCAGUUCUGGAAAUAUUCAAUUAAUACCAUUAAAGGUUGAACAACUGACGUUCAAAUCAACAUAUCUAGU